rnacentral:rRNA from 1 species
UACGUAGGGGGCAAGCGUUGUCCGGAUUUAUUGGGCGUAAAGAGCGUGUAGGCGGCCAUGUAGGUCCGUUGUGAAAACUCGAGGCUCAACCUCGAGACGCCGAUGGAAACCAUGUGGCUAGAGUCCGGAAGAGGAGAGUGGAAUUCCUGGUGUAGCGGUGAAAUGCGCAGAUAUCGUGAGGAAGACCAGUGGCGAAGGCGGGUCUCUGGACAGUUCCUGACGCUGAGGCGCGAAGGCCAGGGGAGCAAACGGG